GAGUGCUCCCUUAAGCCAUGCAUAUAUUAAAGUGGAAUGAUACAGAAAAGAUCAGUAUUGUCCCCAAAAAAGAAUGACACACAAAUCCAUGAAGCAUUCCAUAUUUUU
ensembl:snRNA U6 U6 spliceosomal RNA